CCUACGGGAGGCAGCAGUGGGGGAUAUUGCACAAUGGGGGGAACCCUGAUGCAGCGACGCCGCGUGGGUGAAGGAGUGCUUCGGCAUGUAAAGCUCUAUCGGCAGGGAAGAAGCAAGACGGUACCUGACUAAGAAGCCCCGGCUAACUACGUGCCAGCAGCCGCGGUAAUACGUAGGGGGCGAGCGUUAUCCGGAUUUACUGGGUGUAAAGGGAGCGUAGACGGCCAUGCAAGCCUGGGGUGAAAGCCCGGGGCGCAACCCCGGGACUGCCUUUGAAACUGCUAGACUGGAGUGCGGGAGGGGCAAGCGGAAUUCCUGGUGUAGCGGUGAAAUGCGUAGAUAUUAGGAGGAACACCAGCGGCGAAGGCGGCCUACUGGACCGCAACUGACGUUGAGGCUCGAAAGCGUGGGGAGCAAACAGGAUUAGAUACCCCAGUAGUC
rnacentral:rRNA from 1 species